rnacentral:misc_RNA from 1 species
AUGAAGAACGUAGCGAAAUGCGAUACGUAAUGUGAAUUGCAAAUUCAGUGAAUCAUCGAGUCUUUGAACGCACAUUGCGCCCCCUGGUAUUCCGGGGGGCAUGCCUGUCCGAGCGUCAUUGCUGCCCUCAAGCACGGCUUGUGUGUUGGGCCCCGUCCUCCGAUCCCGGGGGACGGGCCCGAAAGGCAGCGGCGGCACCGCGUCCGGUCCUCGAGCGUAUGGGGCUUUGUCACCCGCUCUGUAGGCCCGGCCGGCGCUUGCCGAUCAACCCAAAUUUUUAUCCAGGUUGACCUCGGAUCAGGUAGGGAUACCCGCUGAACUUAAGCAUAUCAAUAAGCGGAGGA